UUGUAGAGGUAUAAGGAAAACUGUGCAGCCAGAGUUCUACCCUGUGGUUGUCUUUGGUAGAAUACAGGAGGGGUUUACCAUUGCCAUCUCCUGCACAGUAUGAGAUGAUGCCUUUCAGCAUCAUCCUAUAUUGCUGCUUCCCAAUAUAGGUGUUUCCCAUAGUCUGGGAAACAUAGCAGCUAGGAUUCGAACCGGCAACCUCUGGCUUGCUGGUCAAGUCAUUAAACGCUCUGCCAUUAGGUGGCUUGCAUACUAACUAGGGAUCAGUUAAUUAAUAAGAGCUAGUGUAGAGUAGUGACUAGGCUGUUAGACCAUGAUUGAGGAGGCCUGGCUUCACUACCUCACUUGGCCAUAAAGUUUAUUGAGUGACCUUUUGUCAGUCACACUCUUUCUCUCAGCCUGGCCUACCACACAAGGUUGUUGUGAUGAUAAAAAGCAGAGGAUACCCAAUAUGUUGCCUUGAGCUCUUUGGAGGAACGAGAGGAUAAAAAUGUGGUCAAUAAACCCUGGAUUAGACCCAUGUAAAUUUGCAUCUGAAUAAAAUGCUCCUGAAGGGGGAAAACAUUAAGGCAGUUCACAAGAUUAUAAUUAGGGUAGAACAAGUGUCCAACCGUAAUUCAGGAGCUAUGCAUGCUUCUGUCUUGUGACUGCGUGCACAGGAAACAGCAAGGUUGGAGGGGGAGGAAGUGAUCAUCCGGAGAGAGAAGAGCUGGGCCAGAUGGCACUGUCCUACACAGCUCUCGAACUCGGCACUUUACCAAGGUAGGAAGUAUCGCCAUCCAACCCAACUCCUCUAUUCCAGGUAAUCAACGCACGUGACAGAUCAGCCACCAUUUUACAAGACACAUUCCCUCCCCUGUGCGUGAGAGAGAGAGAGGGAGAAAAGAAAGUGGAGUGCCUUUUCUUAGAUGGCACCCUGCCAUCUAUCGAUUUUAAUUCAUUUUAAACAUGCCCUCCUCUGCUCUUGAGAGCCGUUCUGGACAGUGUGAUGAUACCUGGAUCCAAGGGACACGUCUCUCUCUGUGUCAGCCUGCGAUAGAGACACCAUUUUACUGGAUGGCAAGCGAUUCGGGAUAUUGGGGCUUCUCCAGUCUAGAGAAAAUGAAGGCAGUUGCAGAACUCAUUCUUCUCGUACAGAGGUUCAUAGCUUGGCACCCAUGGGGUAGGUCCAGGUGGUCUGUGGAAAAUCUUUACCGCGCUGGAUUUAAUUUGUUUCCUAGCAAGCCAGAAUAAAGUGUUUGAAAA